rnacentral:lncRNA from 1 species
GAAAAUGAACAGAAAGAUGCACCAUGAUAUCAAAGAAGGCGGGAGGGAAUAUCAUCUCGAGCUUACAGAGAGUAAUGAUAAUCUUCUUCUCCAAUAUGUCGAUCUGACUUUGUCUCAAUGUCUUCACACAUAAGUCUCGAAAAUAAGUUCCCAGAUCAAGUAACGCAUCACACACAUUAUCCGGCAACAAUCCACGCAAACCAACUGGGAG